rnacentral:rRNA from 1 species
UACGUAGGGUGCGAGCGUUGUCCGGAAUUAUUGGGCGUAAAGAGCUCGUAGGCGGUUCGUCGCGUCGAAUGUGAAAACCCGGGGCUCAACUCCGGGCCUGCAUUCGAUACGGGCGGACUAGAGUUCGGUAGGGGAGACUGGAAUUCCUGGUGUAGCGGUGAAAUGCGCAGAUAUCAGGAGGAACACCGGUGGCGAAGGCGGGUCUCUGGGCCGAUACUGACGCUGAGGAGCGAAAGCAUGGGGAGCGAACAGG